AUUCAGCAUUGUUAGAAGCAACAGGUAACAGUAGGAGUUGAGCGUUGAAAACCAGAUGAAACGAAGAGGAUAUGAGUCCAUGUGCUAUAGACAUAUUCACCAUCUAAGAAAGGAAGAAAGAGUUUCAAUUCAAAGUGUCGCAAUUAUUUCACAUCAAAGGUUAUAUCAGGGUUUUGAAUCGAGGAUCAUGUUAGAGCUGCUUGUAGGAUUUAUGAGGUUGCAAAUUAUGAAUCGAUCUUGGAGCUGCCUCUAUAAUUUAUGUGCACUAAGAUUGAAGCAUUUCCAAGGUUACAUUACAGCCUUCUAGUUUAUGUUUUUUGAGGGCAACAGAAAUUCAUAAUGUUGUGUGUAACUUCUAUGUUGGAUGGUGCAUCAAACUUUUCCUUGCUUGUUCCUCUCUUCAAAAGCAUCGAUUUCUUGCUUCAGUAAUCAUCAGAUUCAAGAUAGGAAGGAAAAAACUUCCCUUCAAAAUCUUAGCGCGAAGAAUCAAUAGGUUCCAAUGUUGCAGCCUUUUAGAAUAUUGCGAAGAAUCAAUCUGUUCCAAUGUUGCAGCCUUUUAGAAUAUAAAGCAGACUUCCUAUCCAGUUCAUCUGUGCAUUUUGAAUGACGAAGGUAGGAACUAUUUGAUCUUGUACAUCCAUUCAAUCUGUUCAGACCAAUUCCCCUUUCGCCCUCAGUGUAGCCUUAAUUUGUGGCUACUCAUGAACCUUUAUGUGGGAAAUAAAAAAAUUCUCUAUUAAAACUCACGAUGUCUACUUGUUAGUCAUAUGUGAAUCCUGUCUAAAGAAACACUCCAUAAAACAUAU